rnacentral:ncRNA from 1 species
UAAAAACCUAUGAAAAGGCUAGUAGCAAAAUAUAAGUUAAAGAGAGUCAGUGCUAGGUGUGAGCUGAUACUUUAUGCUUUGUGAAUCCACCUUGGAGGGACUGUGAUAAAGCAGUACGGUAAUAAACCGUUAUAUUUCAGAAAGAGGAUUAGAUUAAUCUAAUCAAUUAGGGUGGCAACGCGGAGUCUUUCGUCCCUUUU